rnacentral:miRNA from 2 species
AUCGGUCAACAUUGGAUGUUCAUAU